ensembl:lncRNA
GUUAUUAGUAUUUGAGCUGCUCUAUUUAUAUUUUAAACUCUGCAUGUCAACAAUGCCCCCCCCCCCCAACACACACAUUAAACUGCAGAAAUAGUCUUUGAUUUGCAGCAGGAAGCGACAGGCUUUGUGGUUUGGGCAGCAGCUACCUGCACCUCCGCCUCCUCCCGUUUGGUUCCCUUUCUCCUCGGGGGGGUGAGCGGUGGUUUGUGGAAUAAUCUGUAAGACACAAAUUAGUCGUCUGAGCUGUCGGCUGUCAGAGAGGCGGCUCUGGGAAAAAGAUUUGAAAGAUGAUUUGAAUAUUUCUCCCUCUCCUCCCCGCGUGUCACAUUUGAUUUGACAGACCUUAAUGGCCGCCGACGCCGCGAUUCAACCAGCGGCGGGAUGCAAACGUCCUCUGGUGCCCUCUUCUUCUCUCUGUUCCUUUCCAUCAGAUGAAAAGGGAUCAAGAACUUUGCCUUGUUAAUGUUUCCCUCUCUGCCUUUUUGGAGGAGCUUCAGCGUCAGACGCUGUGAAGGAAGAGGAUGCAAAGUGUGUGUCUGUGUGUGUGUGUGUGGGUCCAUAUCCAUCAUCACCACUUGUGGAGCAACCUCUUCCUCGCCCCCAUUUUUAAUCUGUGAGCGUUGCUCAUAAUUAAUGCAGCAGCUCUGUAGAUCCACAGGUAGCAGCUGCAGACACACACACACACACACACACACACACACACACACACACACACACACACACACACACACACACACACACACACACACACACACACACACACACACAAGGUCUUCUGUCUUUUACAACGUUGCCCUUCAUUAGAAAUGUGCAUAAGUGUUACAAAGGUCAUGUGAGUCAUAAUGAAUCUUUAUUUUAAUGCAGCUUUGUUUGUGUUUUUCCUUCUAAAGUUUCUCUUUUUGUUUCUUUCAGAUUUGCUAGUUAGCUUUAGCAAAAGUUAGCUUCAGGAUAGCUGCAUGGAGGGGCAGCAGAGGUGUCUGACACAUGUCCUGGUUUAUUACUUGAAGAGCCAUUGUGUAGAAACCAGGAGCCAAGAAGAGACCAGAAGAGACCAGAGGAGACCAGAAGGGACCAGAAGAGACAAGAAGAGACCAGAAGGGACCAGAAGAGACCAGAGAAGACCAGAAGGGACCAGAAGAGACCAGAAGCAGGGCUCUUGAGUGUCACGUCUUUCAGUCUCUUGUCACGCCCUGCCGCUAUACAUCCAGUUCCUCACGCCAAGAAAUCGGACAACCGAGCCGUGUUGUUUACCCCCGACGACAAAAUGUCACUCCGAGUUUUCUUAAAAACUUGAGAGCCCUGCAGAAGAGACCAGACGAGACCAGAGGAGACGAGGGUCAGAGGUUUCAUGUCUUCUGGUUCUGCUGGGAGUCUCCGUGUCCUCCUGCGUCACAGGAGGUCAGGCUGAAGCGUCUCCUGGCUCAGUCCGAAGCUGGGGGGUCAAACACAUCUCAUUAGUUCCUCCCUUCUAGUCCCUCCUAGUUUGUGCAGAUGCAUUGUGGUUGUGGGCAGUGGGGCACGUGGGGGGGGCAGAGAGGGUUUCAGAGCACUAAUCUGGUUUGGAAGUCACGGCUGGUCCAUACACUGCACUUCCUGCUGUAAUUGGGGGCUAAUGGGGAGAGGUCUGUGUAGUUCUGCCUCCAUUAGCUGCUCCGCCUGCCCUAAUUGCCCAGCCGAGCCUGAACAAUUCUGUUAGUCGUUGCCCGGAUAAUUAUGGCUGCUUUGGCUAAAAAUAACAGCCGCGCCGAAUCCACGGUGAGGCAGCGCCGUUUUUCUCUUCGUCUCCACAUCCGAUCGCCGCUGUAAACACAACGUGAACGGAGGCCGGAGGAAGGAAUCCAACUGGCGGACUCGUCUCUCCUGCCACGAAAAGGAAGAAACCAAAGCAAAGAAUAAAGACGGCGCGGGUUGAAUAUUAAAUAUUAAAUCUGCUUGUGAGAAACACUUUACGGACACUAAGAGACACAACUAUGACAUCAUAGGAGCUCUGACGGGUCCCCUGGUUGGGUCCCAGUGCCCCCACUUCCCCCCUCUGUCCUCGGAGUUUCACACUCGUGUCACUGGGAGUUAUUUUAAACGAAGAUGCGUUUCAAUCCGCCCCCCCACUAGAUUUACCCCCCGUUCCCCCCGCAGCCUUUCUGCUGGCCUGGCACUUGUGUUUAUGUCGUGCGUUGAUUGUUGAUUCAUAUUUUGACAGCGUUCAUCUGCGUAUUUUGCUGAUGUGUGUGUUUUUUAUUUGUGCGUCUGUGCAGGCUGCCGUGUGAGUGUGCGAUUGUGUGCGUGCGCUCUGCUAACACAGGAUAUUGACUUGUUGUAAAGCCGCGGCCCUUGAGAGUAUUUAUGAGCGCAGCACGGCGGCCUUUCCUCUCUGGCUGCUUUUCCCAGAGUUCAUAGCAUCUCCUCCUCUCUCCAUCCAUCCAGAGCUAUCUGACAAAUCCACACGGAGGCUUAUUGAUGACAAAAGCAUUGAGCGCGCACCGAGGCGAGCUGUAAUCGAUCGGGAAGUGAGCGCCACAUGGACGUGAUGUUUCCCGUUUCCUCCAGACGACACCACAAGACCGAUGUGACGGAUAUGAAGCGCUGAGAGUCGAGCUUCUUGGGUUAAUGACUUCAAGACAAAAGGAAACAAGUAGCAAAGACAGUUUGUUGACGCCGGCGCCGUCUGACCUCCCGUCUCCGUGAGGAGCACCUGUGAGGUGAGAAGGUCGUGCUGGAUUCCUCACAGCAGAUCAACGGCUGCAUAGUAACACGCAAGCAUCUUUGUGUCUGUGUCUCGUUUCAGAAGAAUACUGCUGAAGCUGAGCCCUGACUUCAUGCCUCCACUGACCUGAGGAACAAAUGAUCUGGUGAGAGCAGCCAGCUGGCUCAUGGUGUGCGUUAAUGUUUCUGAGAGGUUCCCUCUCGUCUGCUGUGUUUCGCUGCUCGUGGUGACGACAGACGGCGUCAUCGACACUCGUCUGCAUUCCAUUCUUCAAAUGUGCGUCAUGGCGAUUCGUGUCACAUGGGUUCAGGUACCUGCUGCCGUGGCAUCUUCAGGUCGAGAGAUUCGUUCACGUUGAUUGACAGGACUCAAAUAUUGUCUUAUGAUUGGUUGAAACAAAAACUGAAGAUAACAAGUCGGGGUGGGAAUCUCUUGGCACCUCACGAUUCAAUUCGAUUCCGAUUCCGAGGUCAACGAUUCGACUCUAAACAGAUUAUCGAUUCUAAACUGAUAAAACGAUGAUCGAUGCAUCUCGAUUUUCAAAAAUUUUCAGACUGACGGACCGGUCUGCGAGCUGGACGCGUUGCUCUUAAUGCGCCGGUAAUGAUGAUAAAUGAUGGUUGUGGCUUGACGCGUUUGUUUUUUCACAACGUUUUAUCUCAUAAUUUCGACUUUCUAUCCCAUUUCUUUAGUGCGGAAAUGAGCUUCUAUAGUUGUGUGAACGCAUCACUCCAGCCAAUCCAAAGACGGGGUUUGUAACCAAUCAGGUGUAGAGACCAUGGUGACUGGCUCCGCCCCCUUACUGUCAAAAAGAACAACACCUUCGAGCCGAGCAGAGAAGUUCACGCUCCGAGAGCGAGCAAAUAUCUCGUGAGAGACAGACUUUUAUUUAAAAAUUCCGAUUAUUAACUUUGAGACCAAAUCGUUGUAGAGAAAUUGAAAAAUCUCCCCCCCCCCUAAUAACAAGAAUCCUCAUUUAGAAGCAUGAAAACUAUAAAACUUCAGUUGACAAACUCUCCUGAACGAGUCUCAUUAAUUCAGUCGCAUCAUCUUCUUCUUCACCAUGAGUUCAAACGUCUGAGGCCGAUCCAUGGAGGAGCUUCUCCGGGGGGGUCUUUUGAUGAGAACACAUGCAGAUAUUUAACAGUCAUUGUGAGGACGGUGACAUUUAGGAGCGAGCCGCCGCUAAUUGAGCUCUGUCGUACCUGAAGAUUCAUGGAGGAUUCCUCCGCUCUGCAAGGACGCUCUGCUGGAGAGGAGAAGGCUUUCAACCCCCCAACACACACACACUGAAGUGAAGGUUGUUCUUUUUAAUCAGCUAUACAAAUAAUCACAGUCUGAGAAUACGAAAUGAACUGGAAUCAUUUGAAAAGA